GAUGAACGCUGGCGGCGUGCCUAAUACAUGCAAGUCGAGCGAACGGACGAGAAGCUUGCUUCUCUGAUGUUAGCGGCGGACGGGUGAGUAACACGUGGAUAACCUACCUAUAAGACUGGGAUAACUUCGGGAAACCGGAGCUAAUACCGGAUAAUAUUUUGAACCGCAUGGUUCAAAAGUGAAAGACGGUCUUGCUGUCACUUAUAGAUGGAUCCGCGCUGCAUUAGCUAGUUGGUAAGGUAACGGCUUACCAAGGCAACGAUGCAUAGCCGACCUGAGAGGGUGCUCGGCACCCGGGGACAUGAGCCCGGGCCCAGACCCCUCGGGGAGGCACAGGGAGGGAAUCUUCCGAAAUGGGGGAAAGCCGGACGGACCAACGCCGCGUGAGGGAUAAAGGUUUUCGGAUCGAAAAACUUUUUUAUUGGGGAAAAACAUAUGUGUAAGUAACUGUACACAUCUUGACGGUACCUAAUCAGAAAGCCACGGCUAACUACGUC
rnacentral:rRNA from 1 species